GGGUGCGAUCAUACCAGCACUAAUGCACCGGAUCCCAUCAGAACUCCGUAGUUAAGCGUGCUUGGGCGAGAGUAGUACUAGGAUGGGUGACCUCCUGGGAAGUCCUCGUGUUGCCCCCC
rnacentral:rRNA from 1 species